GCCAGAGCCGUUCCAACCUGCAGCUCUUGCCUGGUUUCCCCCUGAAGCUAAGCAGGGUUGAGUCUGGUCAGUACCUGGAUGGGAGACCUCCUGGGGAAAACUAAGGUUGCUACUGGAA
rnacentral:rRNA from 1 species